UAUUAGCAUACUAUAGUAGCUACUCUUACUAAUUCUGGCAUGUCUUAAUAUGGCAGAAAUAGUAGCAUGCUAUAUACGCCAUUCCAAAUUUAAGCGUAUUGAAGGGAGGGAACGAUUCUUCCACUUAAAAGAUUUGUUCAAAAACACCCUUCACCAUCAACGCCACAAAUGUGAGCUGUUGGUUCAGACGCGCGCAGUUUUGCAUCCGGGACUUUUUUGAGGAUUACACCUGCCGUUAGGCUACAGUGAAAGUAUUGACAUGGGUGCAAAGAGCCAAGACAGCACAUGCCUGAAACAUCACACCUGAUUGUUCUGCAUGGAUCAGUCCGAGAAACUCAAAAGUGGGGCCCUUAUGUGUGUGGAGACAGGAGGCCUCAUCGUUCCUGUAACUGUGCAUAAGUAGCAGAGUGCUGUUCUGCUAAUAGCCCAAAUCAGCGAUGUAACGCGCAGCAUCUCGCUGAUUAUCAAGGCCAGUGUUAAUGCCAGAACAGCAGCUGCUGAGCUCAAACGCACAGACCUGCUACGAAACUCAGACACCUCUCAUGCCAACUGGGAAAUGAAGCCUGUGGACUCCACGCCACUAGAACACCACACUGAGCCAUGUUGAAGUUUCGGAAAGACGUGAGAAUGCUGCAGAACUUGUCACACACAGCUCAUUAAACACUCAAUUAGAUCUUCGCUGCAACACUACACCUGUAAACUGAUCAGUCCUUCAGACCACCCCCUGCUCACUCUGACCA